rnacentral:rRNA from 1 species
UAUGUAGGGGGCUAGCGUUGUCCGGAAUCAUUGGGCGUAAAGAGCGUGUAGGCGGUCCGGUAAGUCCGUUGUGAAAGUCAGGGGGCUCAACCCUUGAAUGCCGGCGGAUACUGUCGGGCUAGAGUCCGGAAGAGGCGAGUGGAAUUCCCGGUGUAGCGGUGAAAUGCGCAGAUAUCGGGAGGAACACCUAUGGCGAAGGCAGCUCGCUGGGACGGUACUGACGCUGGAGACGCGAAAGCGUGGGGAGCAAACAGG